AGUGAACGCUGGCGGUAGGCCUAACACGUGCAAGUCGAACGGCAGCACAGUAAGAGCUUGCUCUUACGGGUGGCGAGUGGCGGACGGGUGAGGAAUACAUCGGAAUCUACUUUUUCGUGGGGGAUAACGUAGGGAAACUUACGCUAAUACCGCAUACGACCUACGGGUGAAAGCAGGGGAUCUUCGGACCUUGCGCGAUUGAAGGAGCCGAUGUCGGAUUAGCUAGUUGGCGGGGUAAAGGCCCACCAAGGCGACGAUCCGUAGCUGGUCUGAGAGGAUGAUAAGCCACACUGGAACUGAGACACGGUCCAGACUCCUACGGGAGGCAGCAGUGGGGAAUAUUGGACAAUGGGCGCAAGCCUGAUCCAGCCAUACCGCGUGGGUGAAGAAGGCCUUCGGGUUGUAAAGCCCUUUUGUUGGGAAAGAAAAGCAGCAGGUUAAUACCCCGCUGUUCUGACGGUACCCAAAGAAUAAGCACCGGCUAACUUCGUG
rnacentral:rRNA from 1 species